UUCGGUCAGGGAUGAGCUCGCGGCCUAUCAGCUAGUUGGUGAGGUAAUGGCUCACCAAGGCGUCGACGGGUAGCCGGCCUGAGAGGGUGACCGGCCACACUGGGACUGAGACACGGCCCAGACUCCUACGGGAGGCAGCAGUGGGGAAUAUUGCACAAUGGGCGAAAGCCUGAUGCAGCAACGCCGCGUGAGGGACGACGGCCUUCGGGUUGUAAACCUCUUUUAGCAGGGAAGAAGCGAAAGUGACGGUACCUGCAGAAAAAGCACCGGCUAACUACGUGCCAGCAGCCGCGGUAAUACGUAGGGUGCAAGCGUUAUCCGGAAUUAUUGGGCGUAAAGAGCUCGUAGGCGGUUUGUCGCGUCUGCUGUGAAAACUGGAGGCUCAACCUCCAGCCUGCAGUGGGUACGGGCAGACUAGAGUGCGGUAGGGGAGAUUGGAAUUCCUGGUGUAGCGGUGGAAUGCGCAGAUAUCAGGAGGAACACCGAUGGCGAAGGCAGAUCUCUGGGCCGUAACUGACGCUGAGGAGCGAAAGGGUGGGGAGCAAACAGGCUUAGAUACCCUGGUAGUCCACCCCGUAAACGUUGGGAACUAGUUGUGGGGUCCAUUCCACGGAUUCCGUGACGCAGCUAACGCAUUAAGUUCCCCGCCUGGGGAGUACGGCCGCAAGGCUAAAACUCAAAGGAAUUGACGGGGACCCGCACAAGCGGCGGAGCAUGCGGAUUAAUUCGAUGCAACGCGAAGAACCUUACCAAGGCUUGACAUAUACGAGAACGGGCCAGAAAUGGUCAACUCUUUGGACACUCGUAAACAGGUGGUGCAUGGUUGUCGUCAGCUCGUGUCGUGAGAUGUUGGGUUAAGUCCCGCAACGAGCGCAACCCUCGUUCUAUGUUGCCAGCACGUAAUGGUGGGAACUCAUGGAAUACUGCCGGGGUCAACUCGGAGGAAGGUGGGGAUGACGUCAAAUCAUCAUGCCCCUUAUGUCUUGGGCUUCACGCAUGCUACAAUGGCCGGUACAAAGGGCUGCAAUACCGCAAGGUGGAGCGAAUCCCAAAAAGCCGGUCCCAGUUCGGAUUGAGGUCUGCAACUCGACCUCAUGAAGUCGGAGUCGCUAGUAAUCGCAGAUCAGCAACGCUGCGGUGAAUACGUUCCCGGGUCUUGUACACACCGCCCGUCAAGUCAUGAAAGUCGGUAACACCUGAAGCCGGUGGCCCAACCC
rnacentral:rRNA from 1 species